rnacentral:rRNA from 1 species
GACGAACGCUGGCGGCGUGCUUAACACAUGCAAUUCGAACGGAAAGGCCCUGCUUUUGUGGGGUGCUCGAGUGGCGAACGGGUGAGUAACACGUGAGUAACCUGCCCUUGACUUUGGGAUAACUUCAGGAAACUGGGGCUAAUACCGGAUAGGAGCUCCUGCUGCAUGGUGGGGGUUGGAAAGUUUCGGCGGUUGGGGAUGGACUCGCGGCUUAUCAGCUUGUUGGUGGGGUAGUGGCUUACCAAGGCUUUGACGGGUAGCCGGCCUGAGAGGGUGACCGGCCACAUUGGGACUGAGAUACGGCCCAGACUCCUACGGGAGGCAGAAGUGGGGAAUAUUGCAAAAUGGGCGGAAGCCUGAUGCAGCAACGCCGCGUGCGGGAUGACGGCCUUCGGGUUGUAAACCGCUUUCGCCUGUGACGAAGCGUGAGUGACGGUAAUGGGUAAAGAAGCACCGGCUAACUACGUG